UAGGGAAUCUUCGGCAAUGGGGGGAACCCUGACCGAGCAACGCCGCGUGAGUGAAGAAGGUUUUCGGAUCGUAAAGCUCUGUUGUAAGAGAAGAACGGGUGUGAGAGUGGAAAGUUCACACUGUGACGGUAUCUUACCAGAAAGGGACGGCUAACUACGUGCCAGCAGCCGCGGUCAUACGUAGGUCCCGAGCGUUGUCCGGAGUUAUUGGGCGUAAAGCGAGCGCAGGCGGUUAGAUAAGUCUGAAGUUAAAGGCUGUGGCUUAACCAUAGUAUGCUUUGGAAACUGUUUAACUUGAGUGCAGAAGGGGAGAGUGGAAUUCCAUGUGUAGCGGUGAAAUGCGUAGAUAUAUGGAGGAACACCGGUGGCGAAAGCGGCUCUCUGGUCUGUAACUGACGCUGAGGCUCGAAAGCGUGGGGAGCAAACA
rnacentral:rRNA from 1 species